CAGAAAAGUUCCUUUGUUGCCGUGAGCAUCUCCAUCCUCUAGAGCAAGCCACGAAGUCAAGCAAGGCCAAGGAAGAGAAGAAGGAGCCGUGAUCUAUUCCUCCACCAUCCACCUUUGAAGCUUGCUUUCGAGAUUCAAGGAUUCCAUCGUUAUUCACCCCUCAUCAUCCUCCAUCCACGGUGUAAUUCGACCUCUACCUUGUAACCUUUGCUUUGUAUUUAGUUGGUUUUGCCUUAGUUGACAUUCAUGAUUGAACAAAUAUUAAUUUCUGGAAUUUUAUAUGAUUGAAUGAAAUUUUCAGAUUCUAUUAUUGUGAUUCGAGAGUUGCUUAUGUGAGUUUGUUUAAUUAAAUUUGCGUUAUAGAUAUCUUUUGUAUUUUAAUCUUAUGUGGUUCGAAACACUUAGGGUUUUGAUAUGAAUGUUGCUAGGUUUAAGAACAUGAAUCAACUUUUUGUUUUGUGUAAACUUGAAUCAAAGUAGUAAAGGUUUUGGACAAAGAUCGAAUUUAAUUAAAGAGGAUUGCAAUUAGGUGGACUUUUCCAUACUAAGUUGUACACUUGAGUUGAUAGCCUUUCUAUGUGUUUCAUGCGUUAAACAUGUCAUUAUUGACUAGCUUUCUAAGGCUUGAUUACAUGUUUGAUAGGAUUAAUCUAGGUGCUUUCACUUAGGUUAAUUAGCAUUGAAAAGUAAAAAAUGGGAAAUUAUUUGCUUUCGAAUAUUUCACAUGAUCAACUCAUUUCUCAUGACUUAGAUGAACAAUAUUAGGGUUUAAAUCGAUUUUAAUCAUAGUUUCGAUUUUGAUCUUUGUUCUUUCAUUCCAUUCGUGUUUUUAUGUUUUACUUAGUUUAUUUUCGAAACCUAAAUCCAAAAACCCCCCUAAUUUCGUAAAUAAUGUUUAUACUUGUGAAUAUCUUUGUGAAUAUUAUACUUUGUUUAAUUUUAAUUGUUUAAUUGUUUGACAAUGACAGGUGUACCCUCAAUCCCCGGAAUAGAACGAUCCCUAUUUGCUUAUACUACUAAUGAUAUUUUCAGGGUUAAAUUAUGCGCUUGCUUUUAGCGUGUCAAGUUAAAUUUCAUGGAAUUACGAAUAUUGCCACUCACCAGAAUCAAAACCUCUAUUUCUCCCCUAAAUCAAAAGCUCCAUUUCAGCGGCGAAGCAACAAAGGGAGGUUCCGACGAUGAAGCAACGAAUGAGGCUCCAGCGGCAAAGCAACGAAUCGAGGAUCUGGCAGCGAAGCAACAGAUCUAGGAUCCGGUGGAGCCGAUCAACAACGAAAAGGACGAGGAAGAGCUUGAGGCCGUCACUCGCUCCGCCGACGAAGACACCGUUGAGGACAACUCCCGCCGAUCCGAUGACGAGGCCGUGCCGACCGAGAACAACAACGACUUUGAAGAAGAGGAUGGAGCUAAUGAAAGCAAUGCUGAAGUGAGCAAACGCGAGAAGGCCAGACUAGUAUACUGCUGGGGAUCAGUACACUACUGAGGGUCAGUAUACUACUGGGGCUAGUAUACUACUGAGGGUCAGUAUACUACUAAGGUUUGACUGUGGAGCACAUAUAUCCUAAACUAUAUACAACAAGUUGCAAAUAACCAAGCAGUCAGGGACAGAAGUGUUUACGCAAACAAUGUGCUACAAAUUGAAAAGGAAAUCAAAGAGAGCUUCAAGCACAUGAGGAAAUCCUGCUGGAGAAACUUCAUCAUGAGAAGAGGUGAAAUUCAAGUAACUUGUAUGUGAAAGCAGCAAAGUCAGAGAAUAUCAGU